UACGUAGGUGGCAAGCGUUAUCCGGAUUUACUGGGUUUAAAGGGUGCGUAGGUGGAUUUGUAAGUCAGUGGUGAAAUCUCCGGGCUUAACCCGGAAACUGCCAUUGAUACUAUAAGUCUUGAAUUAUCUGGAGGUAAGCGGAAUAUGUCAUGUAGCGGUGAAAUGCUUAGAUAUGACAUAGAACACCAAUUGCGAAGGCAGCUUACUACGGAUAUAUUGACACUGAGGCACGAAAGCGUGGGGAUCAAACAGG
rnacentral:rRNA from 1 species